GGUGAGUCGGGUCCUAAGGCGAGGCCGACAGGCGUAGUCGAAUGGAUGAACGGGUGGAUAUUCCCGUACCGGCGGCGUACCGUAAGAGCCGAACGGAUGAGUACUAACCUCCGGUCGCGUGGCGUCGUUCCCUUCGGGGUUCGGGGUCCGCGGUCGUUGGGAGCGUAGUCCUGGUAGGCUAGCGCACAGGGGUGACACGGAAUGGGAGCCGGCCGCGGAGGUGGUUUUCCGUGGUCAAGCACGCAGCCCGUCCCAUAGGCAAAUCCGUGGGACGCAUAGGGUGAGGUGUGAUGAUGGGCGUCCUUUGGACGCGAUAUCCGGUGGUCCAGGCCGUCGAGAAAAGCCUCGGCGCGAGGGGCGUCGCCGCCCGUACCCCAAACCGACACUGGUGGUCAGGUAGAGAAUACCAAGGCGAUCGAGCGAAUCCUGGUCAAGGAACUCGGCAAAUCACUCCCGUUCCUUCGGUUUAAGGGAGACCCCCGAUGGUGAACACGCUUGCUGUGGGAGCUUUUGGGGGUGGCACAGACCAGGGGGUAGCGACUGUUUACCAAAAACACAGGUGCAUGCGAAGGCGCAAGCCGCUGUAUAUGCACUGACGCCUGCCCGGUGCCGGAAGGUUAAGAGGAUCCGUCAGCCUUCGGGUGAAGCGGUGAAUUCAAGCCCCGGUAAACGGCGGUGGUAACUAUAACCAUCCUAAGGUAGCGAAAUUCCUUGUCGGGUAAGUUCCGACCUGCACGAAUGGCGUAACGACUUCCCCACUGUCUCGACCAGGAGCUCGGCGAAAUUGCAGUACGAGUAAAGAUGCUCGUUAAGCGCAGAAGGACGAAAAGACCCCGGGACCUUUACUAUACCUUGGUAUUGGCAUUCGGUGUGGAUUGUGUAGCAUAGGCGGGAGGCCGAGAGGCGCGGUCGCCAGAUCGCGCGGAGCCGUAAGGUGAAAUACCGCUCUGUUCGCAUUGGAUGUCUAACCUCGAACAGUCAUCCUGUUCAGGGACAGUGCCUGGCGGGUAGUUUAACUGGGGCGGUUGCCUCCCAAAGAGUAACGGAGGCGCCCAAAGGUCCGCUCAGCCCGGUUGGCAAUCGGGUGGCGAGUGCAAGUGCACAAGCGGGCUUGACUGCGAGGACGACGGUCCGAGCAGGGACGAAAGUCGGGACUAGUGAUCCGGUGCCGGUGUACGGACGCGGCAUCGCUCAACGGAUAAAAGGUACCCCGGGGAUAACAGGCUGAUCAUUCCCAAGAGUCCAUAUCGACGGGAUGGUUUGGCACCUCGAUGUCGGCUCGUCGCAUCCUGGGGCUGGAGCAGGUCCCAAGGGUUCGGCUGUUCGCCGAUUAAAGCGGCACGCGAGCUGGGUUCAGAACGUCGUGAGACAGUUUGGUCUCUAUCCUCUGCGCUCGUUGGAAUGCUGAGGAGGCCUGCCCAUAGUACGAGAGGACCUGGGUGGACGAACCUCUGGUAUGCCGGUUGUCACGCCAGUGGCACGGCCGGUUGGCUACGUUCGGAAGGGAUAACCGCUGAAAGCAUCUAAGCGGGAAGCCUGCUCCAAGAUAAGCAUUCCGUGGAACCUUCGAGUUCCUGUAGUCCCCAUGCAGAACACGUGGUCGAUAGGCCGGACGUGGAAGCCCCGCGAGGGGUGGAGCCGACCGGUACUAACGGACGAAAGGCAACACCA
rnacentral:rRNA from 1 species